GACGAACGCUGGCGGCGUGCCUAAUACAUGCAAGUCGAGCGGACUUUGAAAAGCUUGCUUUUUGAAGUCAGCGGCGGACGGGUGAGUAACACGUGGGCAACCUGCCUGUAAGACUGGGAUAACAUCGGGAAACCGAUGCUAAUACCGGAUAAUCCUUUCCUACACAUGUAGGGAAGCUGAAAGUCGGUUUUUAGCUGACACUUACAGAUGGGCCCGCGGCGCAUUAGCUAGUUGGUGAGGCAACGGCUCACCAAGGCAACGAUGCGUAGCCGACCUGAGAGGGGGAUCGGCCACACUGGGACUGGGACACGGCCCAGACUCCUACGGGAGGCAGCAGUAGGGAAUCUUCCACAAUGGACGAAAGUCUGAUGGAGCAACGCCGCGUGAGCGAUGAAGGCCUUCGGGUCGUAAAGCUCUGUUGUUAGGGAAGAACAAGUGUUGGAGUAACUGCCGGCACCUUGACGGUACCUAACCAGAAAGCCACGGCUAACUACGUGCCAGCAGCCGCGGUAAUAC
rnacentral:rRNA from 1 species